rnacentral:lncRNA from 1 species
UGGUAUCCUUAAUUUUCCACUUCCUCUCUCAUUUACAUACAGAAAGCAGUCUCACAUUUUGCAGAUGAAAAACUGGCUCAGUUCCACAGGAAUUAACAUGUUCUACCUCAAUCUGUCGCCUAACUUACAGGAAAAAUUCACUUUACCUAACUUCACAUUUGUAGCCUAAUUUUCUUCUGACAUGUGCUUUACUUGAAGUUAUGCGGCCUUGUUUCCAAGUUAAAACCGAUAAUAAAGUACUUGACUCGUGACACCUUUUUACUUGUCAAACUGAUCUGAUUAACUAGCAAGUGCAUGUUAUGUUUCAAGUCAUUUUUUACAAUCUACAAACACGUCAAAAAAACUAAUGGAGAUGGACGGCCGCCACAUUUUUAAAAGGCGGAAGUGAAGUUUAGCCACCAUUCCGUAGUUUUAAAGUCCAGCCACCGUUUUGUAAAAUUUGCCAAAACUCAGCAACCACUAUGUCAUUUACUCUUCAAAUCAUUAUCUAAUCCUGCAACCAGUAGUCCCAAUGAUUCGUAAAACAAAGCAGACAUUCAAAGGAGCUUUAAGAAUGAUAGUGGUCAUCUAAAAGUUUCAUCAUCAAUGUGACUGCAGGGAUGGGGCAAGACAAUUGUAGUGGGAGUGGACAAGCCAGGGGCAAUGUUGAGCUUCACAUCUUUUGAAGUUCUUCAUCAUGGAAAAACCCUCAUGGGUUCGCUAUUUGGAAAUCUGAAGCCUAAAUCCGACAUUCAAAUGCUGCUAAAACGCUACAUGGACAAGGUAAUCUAGUAAAGGAAAGAGCUCUGUCUCAGAUAUUUUUUGUUUCCUCGAGAAUCUGCUUNUGGACAAAUAAUCAAUUUACCGGCGGACAAUAUCCCGUACUUAGAUCGGUUUAUAUGCGACCUUCUCAAUUUAGGGGUCUAUUCAACUAAGAUUUUAAUAAAUUUUAUAUAGUUUAUGAAUUUUAAUAAAUUGUAUCUUAUUUUGAUUGUAUGCGAAUUCUCGAUAAAAUGUCCCAGAGGGGGAGUCUUUAAAAUUUAACCAAAAGGAAAAUGCUUGGAAAUCUUAUUGAUUUGAUUUUAAUGAGUUUUUUUUAUGUCAUGAGAUGAUUUUGGUGAGAUUUCAUAUAUACUAUAGUAUCUUUUGCCCUUAUUAAUUUGUUUUGUUAUUAUUUGACAAAUAAAUUUAAUAAGUAAUAAUAUAUUAAUUUUCAAAUACGUCAAAGUUUAAUAUUUCAAAUGGGAUAAAAAACUUAUGUUAGACACAAUUUUGUAAUACUUAAAUUUAUUAUAUGUCAAUAACAUUAACAUGAAAUUAUACGUCAAACUAAAUAUUAUAAGUCAAACUUGAUAUCAUAUUACACCCUCAUGUCUCCUUGAAGUAAAUUGACUGGAGUUUGAUCUUAAUAAAUUCUAUAUAAUUUAUGAAUUUUAAUUAAUUGUAUCUUAUUUUGAUUGUAUGCGAAUUCUCGAUAAAAUAUCCCAGAGGGGGAGUCUUUAAAAUUUAACCACAAGGAAAAUGCUUGGAAAUCUUAUUGAUUUGAUUUUAAUGAGGUUUUUUUUUUUAUAUCAUGAGAUGAUUUUGGUGAGAUUUCAUAUAUACUAUAGUAUCUUUUGCCCUUAUUAAUUUGUUUUGUUAUUAUUUGACAAAUAAAUUUAAUAAGUAAUAAUAUUUUAAUUUUCAAAUACGUCAAAGUUUAAUAUUUCAAAUGGGAUAAAAAACUUAUGUUAGACAUAAUUUUGUAAUAUUUAAAUUUAUUAUAUGUCAAUAACAUUAACAUUAAAUUAUACGUCAAACUAAAUAUUAUAAGUCACACUUGAUAUCAUAUUACACCCUCAUGUCUCCUUUAAGUUGUCCACUUUGACAUUGAACAGACAAAUUGAUCGGAGUUUGAUUGAAUGUUUUAUCUAUUGUAUAGUUGAAUAUUAAAAAAUUAUAUCAUUGUAAAGUAAAAAUAAUAUAUUUUAGAAUGCAAUUUUCAGUUUCUUAAAAUAAUUAAAGAAUCUUCCAUUAUAUUUUGUCAAUUUGACAAUUGAAUGUUAAAAGUGGACAACUAAAAAAUGGACGGCGAAAGUAAUAAAAUUUUGAAACUAUAGUUAAACUGAACAAAUAAAUAUGGAUGACUAUAUCUAUGUAUGAUGAUAGCAUGAUGAUAGGUAUAUAGACUAAUACAUUUUAUUUUAUUUUUAUUGUUUUAUUUUUUAUUUUUGAAAUUUUAUUUUAUAAAUAUAUAAAGAACCACUUUAAAAGAUAAUUUAUGAUUAUAUUAUUCAUUAUUACUAGGGAUUAAGCAAGCGCUACGUCCUAAAGACCCUGUAUAUUAUUGAUAAAUAAUAUUAUUUUUUUAGAAUUCUGAAUAUUAAAGAUUUAAAAAUGAAAAAGAAGAAGAAGUGAAGUUUUUAAUACAAUAUAGCGAGACAAUUAUAUUGUUAUUAUGAUUUUAUACGAGAGUAUAAUUUAUAAAAGGAUUUGUUGUAUAACGAAGAUAAUACGUUGAAAAAUUUAUUGAGUUGGGACUGCAGUAAAUGUCAUAUCAAGGUACAAGAAGCGUGGACACCGGGCACGAAGUCGUAAUUUUUGCAAUUAAUCAAAAGAUACCUAAAUAUUUUUUUCAAAAAAAAAAAGAAAUACCUAAAUACUUCUUAUCAUUAUUCAUCAAAAGAUUCCCAAAUCGUAGAAGACAAGCUGGGUAUCCAAACUUUCUUAAUGUGAUGCAGAAAACAAACUGACAUUGAUUUUUUUUGAUUUGACAAAAUUGAAACGGUUGAAUAAAAAAUGGAAAUGUUAAGACAAGACGACGAGGGAUUUGAAUUGAUUGAUGUAAAUCGAUAUUCUCGCGAUUUUACAACUAAUUGAUAUGUUGAAAAGAUAUCUGAUUUGUAUUUUUAAGCACUCGUGAUUAGCGAAGAUAAGUCAAUUAUCAUAAAUAAAAGAUACUCAAGAUGUCGCUGCCAUUGAUGCAUGAUACGUGACUUGUAUUUGUCUAUACUAUAUAUAGAGACUCUAGUGUAUCACUAAUAUUGUUCAUUGUAAUAUUUGAGUUUUCUGAUUUCUCCACAUGGAAGAGAGCAAAACAGCUGGUAAACCCAUUCGAUGCAGAGGUAAGCUCUUCAAACUCGCAGUUGAAUGUCACGUAAUAAUUUACGAAACAAGAAUUGUGUUGUUUUUUUUUUUGCCAAUUGAUUCUGACCUCCCGCAAGAGGAUACAAGAAUUGUGUUAUGUAGUUCUCCGUAGAAGUUAACUUAAAUGUUUAUGUAUAUAUGUCGAUUGUAUUGCAGCGGCGGUUGCUCGGAAAGCAGGGGAGCCACUGAGCAUGGAAGAAGUGAUCGUUGCUCCACCGGAAUCCGGUGAAGUCCGCCUUCGAAUUAUUUGCACCUCCUUGUGCUACAGUGACGUCACCUUCUGGAAAAUGAAAGUAAUCUUUGAUUAUUGUAAUUAUUUUUUUUAACUUGCUGUGAAUUUUUAACUCGGCACUAUCUCCUUGCAACUCUCUUUCUCUUAUUUUUUCCCCUGUGUUUAUGGUCAGGAUCCUCCUGCAUAUUUUCCCAGAAUACUUGGUCACGAAUGUUUCGGGUGCGUUUCUUUCGUUCUUUUUACUGUUUUUUACAAGUCAAUUACGCACUUAUAUAUUUUGUCUUUGACGAGUUUUGAAUUUCGCAAAGAGAACCAAAUAGAAAUCCAGGAUAUAUCAUAUCCCUUUGAUGUUUGUUUCUUUAAUUGAUAGUAAAGAAAGCAAGAUAACUCUUCUAUUUUGCUACAUUCUAUUUUGAAGGUUUCACUGACUUGCGCAUGUUAAGUUUAAUGUCUCACAAAAAUAAAAUAGCAUGGCUGAGCUAGUGAGCUUCAAUGUUACAUACAAAAAUGUUAUGACUAUCUAGAUUUCAUAUUUUUGACUAACUUCAGGGUUGUCGAGAGUGUUGGGGAGAAUGUCAGUGAGGUAACUGUAGGGGACACUGUCAUCCCAGUUUUUAUGCCAGAUUGCGGAGAAUGUGGAGAUUGCAUAUCUAGCAAGAGCAACCUUUGCAGCAAAUUCCCUUUUGAAUUUGUUCCAUGGUUGCAUAGAGACCAGAAAAGCAGAUUCACUGACCUUAAUGGAGAAACUUUGCAUCAUUUCUUAUAUAUUUCAAGUUUCAGCGAGUAUACGGUGGUGGAUACUGUUCACAUUGUUAAAGUUGAUACUAGGAUCCCACCAAAUAGAGGAUGCCUCCUCAGCUGCGGAGUAUCCACUGGUAUUCUAUUGUUUUAUUAGUCAGUAGUCACAUGCAUGAGAUAUUCAGUUCCUUCAUAUUUCAAGCAUUCUUAAUUAUUCAUAUUACUGAGUGUGAACCUUGCUAUUACUAAAUCAAAGUUAUCCUUGUAGGGGUAGGUGCUGCCUUGAAAACUGCAAAUGUGGAAGCUGGAUCGACUGUGGCCAUCUUUGGACUCGGUGCUAUAGGAUUGGCUGUAUGAUUCUGCAGUCUGUUCUGAAUUUGUUUAAUUUAAUAAAUGUGAUAUAACAUGGCUCUGGUGUGGAUAAUCAGUUUGGGAUAUGAUGUAUGUCAUAGGUCUCAGAAGGAUCAAGACUUUGUGGAGCUAAACGAAUAAUUGGUGUCGAUGUGAAUGAAGACAAGUAUGAGAUAGGUAAUAAAUUAAUGUGGAACUUUCUUUCCAGUCGAUGUUAAGUGAAAUACAGUGAUCUCUUGGCUGUUAUACUAGAUCAAAGUAAUAGAUUGACCAAUUGUCUAUACAAGCUAUAACUAAUUCAGUCUGGUUGAUAAAUGGAUUCUCAAUAGCUUGUAAAUUGAGUCCCAUUGUUCUCAUGCAGCAAAAAGAUUUGGAGUGACGGAUUUUGUGAACUCUCUCACAUGUGGUGAAAAAUCUGUGAGCCAGGUACACUAAGCCUGUCAACUUGUACAGAGUUUUGUAUAUUCAUUUGACUCUGUUUUAUUACUUUUAAUAUUUGUAUAUUAGCUAUCUUCCAAUACAUACAUCAGACUGCUAACACGGAGAGGGGAAAUGAGAAUUCAUACCUACUUUGGCCAUUAUUCACUUUAAAAUAUUCAUGAACUAUGGUUAUGUUUCUGAGAAUGAUUAUAUACAUAUAUUGUUAGUAAUAAUAAUUCGUCUCUCAUAUCACAUCGGCAGGUGAUUUUAGAGAUGACUGAUGGUGGCGCAGACUAUUGCUUUGAAUGUGUUGGUAUCGCAUCCUUAGUGCAUGAGGCUUUCGCUUGCUGCCGAAAGGUGUCACAAUUUCCUUUGCACUGCUGUAAUUAAUAAUCCGCGUUUAAUAUUGCUCUAAAAACCCUGUGCCUGAUUUUUUUGUCCCAUCCAUCAUCUAUGGUCUUUCUUGAGAUGCAUUAAACUAUUGAGUAGAUCAUGAACUCUAUAUGAAUUAACAUUAAGUAGACGCAAUAAUUAAUAAGGAUAAUUAUAACUUUUAUACGAUGAAAUAUUGUGCUUCCCUAACACAAACAUAUAUUGAUGAGUUUCUUAUUAUACAUUCGCAGGGAUGGGGAAAGACGGUUGUUUUGGGAGUGGAUAAGCCAGGUUCAAACUUGACCUUGUCUUCUGUUGAGGUUGUUCGGUCAGGAAAGACUCUCACAGGAUGCCUGUUUGGAAGCAUUAAACGAAAAUCUGAUGUUCCUAUGCUUGUAAAACGAUAUUUGGACAAGGCAUUUCGAUAUCUAUUAGAUUUAACUAUUCAAGGUUGCUUAUGUUUAUUGAUCAGAACAGAUCAUUUUUAAAAAGCAGUAAAGAAACUAUUUUGUUCUCCUUGGAAUAAGCCCUAUGGUUGAUCUGAAAUUUCAGGAGCUGGAACUGGAUAAGUUUGCGACUCAUGAAGUCAAGUUUGAAGACAUCAACAAGGCNGAGUUACUUGUAGAUGGAAAGAGCGUGCGAUGUAUAAUAUGGAUGGACCAAAACAAAUAGGAGAGUUCCUGCAGCCUUCUGCACUCAGCUGCCAGCUGCAAUAAGUGAAGAAAUUCAAGUGGAGUUACAUUUAUAUGCAAUAUUUCCUCUUUGAGAUCAAUAAAUAUAUCUGGAUUCUGAACAAUUUUAUGAAAUUAUUCGAUUAGAAACCUCCUUGGUCAGUGAUAUUAGUUCAGUUUUAUUUAAUAUUAUUAAUUAUUAAUAAAUUUCUUUGGUUCAUAAAUAUGCGCUUUUAAGUCCUUGAACGAGCUCUGGUUUCUUUUUCCGAUGAUGAUAAUAGCUUUGGUUUUACCUCAUUUUGCUUAGGCAGUCAUACGUAAUAUUCAGCAGACAACUUUGAGAUUUUGCGUCUCUUUGAGCUUUUGCGUUUAAGAUUAUUGACAUGCAAUCUCUGUCAGGUACUGUCAAUAUAGAGGAAAUGGUUUAAAAGUUAAUACUAUGUUAAGAUGAUUAUUUAAAAUUUAGUAAAGAAGUCAAAGUGCACGAUGUGAUUAGCAACUUGUAGCAUGAAGAUCAAUAUAAAUAGAUAGAUGUUUUAUCAUACAGUUGAUUAUGGAGAUGAUUGAGGGUGUUGCCGAUUAUUGCUUCGAAUGUGUUGGUACGGCAUCCUUGUUGCAUGAAGCAUUUGCUUGGUGCAGAAUGGUAUCCUUAAUUCUCCACUUCCUCUCUCAUUUACAAACAGAAAAGCAGUCUAACAUUUUGCAGAUGAAAAACUGGCUCAGUUUCACAGGAAUUAACAUGUUCUAUCUCAAUCUGUCACUUAACUUACAGGGAAAAUUCAUUGUACCUAAAUUCACAUUUGUAGCCUAAUUUUCUUCUGACAUGUGCUUUACUUGAAGUUAUUCGGCCUUGUUUCCAAGUUAAAACUGAUGAUAAAGUACUUAACUCGUGACAAUUUUUUACUAGGGGUGAGCAUUCGGUUCGUUAACCGAAAACCGAACCGAUUAGCCGAAAAAAAUUCUGUUCGGUUAACCAAUAUAAUUAUUUCGGUUCGGUUUUCGGUAGGAAAAUAUCUAAAUUUCGGUUUUUCGGUUUUUUAACCGCGGUUAACCGAUAACCUAAAUUCGGUUCGGUUUUUACAGAGGGUCUUCUGCGAUUGCUUAACUAUAUCUUUCAAAUUAUUAUCUAAUCCUGCAACCAGUUGUCCCGAUGAUCCGUAAAACAAAGCAGACAUUCAAAGUAGCUCUAAAAAAUGAUAGUGGUCAUCUAAAAGUUUCAUCAUCAAUGUGACUGCAGGGAUGGGGAAAGACAAUUGUAGUGGGAGUGGACAAGCCAGCGGCAAUGUUGAGCUUCACAUCUUUUGGAGUUCUUCAUAAUGGAAAAACCCUCAUGGGUUCGCUAUUUGGAAAUCUGAAGCCUAAAUCCGACAUUCAAAUGCUGCUAAAACGCUACAUGGACAAGGUAAUCUAGUAACGGAAAGAGCUCUGUAUCAGAUAUUUUUUGUUUCCUCGAGAAUCUGCUCUAAUUGUUUGAAAACCUUCAGGAGCUGGAGUUGGAUAAGUUUGUAACUCAUGAAGUGAGUCUGGAAGACUUUAACAAAGCUUUUGAGUUACUAACAGAGGGAAAGAGCCUUAGAUGUGUCAUUUGGAUGGACAAAUAAUCAGCUUACCGGCGGACAAUAUCCGGUACUUAUAUCGGUUUAUAUGCGACUUUUCCUUGCUUUUCCUUCUCCAUUUAGUGUCUAUUCAACUAAGAUUUUAAUAAAUUUUAUACGAGUUACGGAUUUUAAUGAAUUAUAUUUUAUUUUGAUUGUAUGCGAAUCAUCGAUAAAAUGUCAUAGCGUGGAAGUCUUUAAAAUUUAUCCACAAGGAAAAUGCUUCGCAAUCUUGUUGAUUUGAUUUAAUGAGAUUUUUUUUUAUGUCAUAAGAUGAUUUUCUUCUUGGAUUCUUUGUGAUAAAAUAAAAUUGGAACUAGGCCUCGUUUGGUAAGCAGGACUCAGAGUUACACAAUAACUAGAACUUACAGCGUGCAGUUAUGUUUGAAUUAUAUAUGUAUGUAACUAUGCAAAUUUGAUUAUUGAUGUAAUAUUAAAUUAAUAAAUUUACACAAACAUAUAAAAAUAAAAAUAAUUUUAUAUGUAAUAUUAAACAAAGUUAUAUACAUUUUAAUAUAAUGUUAAAAGAAAAAAGUAUAUAUUGAUAUUUAUAAAUUAAAUAAAAAAAAUAUUAAUAUAUAAGUGAAAUUUUAAAUUUUAUAAUUAGAUAAAAUAAUUAUAUAAAAAUAUAAUUAAUAUAGAUAUAAUUAUAUUAGUUAUAUUAUAAAAUUAAAAUUGUAUUUAUGUAUAUCAUUAAAAAAACUUAUAAAAUAUAAUUAGUUAUAAUUAUAUUAAAAUAAGUAUAAAUUAAAAUUAUAUAAACAUGAUUUUAUAAAUAUUGACAUACAAAAAUAUUGUGACAUAAAAUUAUUAUAACAAUUAGUAUCGGAAGUAAUUGCAACAUAUAUAAAAUAUUAAGUUAAAAGUAAACUAAGAUCAAUGUAUAUAAACAGGUAAUAUUAUAUCAAACAAUAAUUUUAUAUAUAAUAAUUAUAUUAUAAAUAAGGAAUGUUUGAAAAAUAUAUUAUAAAUAUUGUACAUAUAUACGGUGUUUUAGUGUAACUUGAGAUACCUACGAAGUGUGUGUUAGGUAGUUUGAAUUAAAAGUUGUACAACCAAAAAUGAGUUUCAUGGAAGUGUAGGUUACUGUGUUGGGUAACAACGUACCAAACAAGGCUUAAAAGUUGUCCACUUUGACAUUGAACAGUCAAAUUGAUCAGAGUUUGAUUGAAUGUUCUAUCUAUUGUAUCUAUUGUAUAGUUGAAAAAAUAUUAAAAAAAUUAUAUCAUUGUAAAGUAAAAAUAAUAUAUUUUAGAAUGCAAUUUUUAUUUUCUUAAAAUAAUUAGAGAAUCUUCCAUUAUAUUUUGUCAAUUUGACAAUUGAAUAAAAAGUGGACAACUAAAAAAUGGAUGGCGAAAAUUAUAAAAUUUUGAAACUAUAAGUUAAAUUGAACAAAUAAAUAUGAAUGACCUUAUCAAUGUAUGAUGAUAGCAUGAUGAUAGGUAUAUAAACUCACACACUUUAUUAUAUUUUUAUUAUUUUAUUUUUUAUUUUUGAAAUUUUAUUUUAUAAAUAUGUAAAGAACCACUUUAAAAGAUAAUUUAUGAUUAUAUUAUGGACUUUUUUCAUAAAUACUUCCAAAUUUAAAUGAUUUUUUGCAAAAUUAAUAUCUUUUUUAAAACAAAUUGCAAAAAUAUUAUACUUCAAAAUAUAUUUGCAAAAAUACGGAGGUUGCAUAUGCAACCAUAUCUGCAAUUGCUAGCAACCAUAUAUGCAAUCACAAAGACAACUUUGAAAAAAAUCUUUUGAAAAUCACCUUAAGUUGUAUAAUAAGUUGCUGGUUGCAAAGACAGAAAAAUGAGUAGCCCUACGGGGCCAAUACUAAUAUCACAAAUGCAAGCACAAAAACAACUACAAAAAUCAAAAUCAACAACCAUGCAACUAACAAUCAAUAUUCCUAAUCAACCAACAACGCCAUCACAUAUACAGUCAUAUACACACAAUUAUAUACAUACACCUAUACGAUACCUUUAAUCGAGCCUAAUUCAAUUUCUGAUCUUUCCAGAUUUUUGAACCCUAAUCAAUAAUUGAUUUCUCGACUAAAAUUUUGAUGAGAGAAAGAGGGAGAGAACAAGGAGAGAGGCAAUGAGAGAACAAAGCUAGGGGAGGGAAAUAAUGAGAGGGGAAAGCGAGAGAGCGAGGAGAGAGUGGGAUAGAUGAGGGCGGAAAAGAAGCAGAGGGAUAAAGUGAGAUGCUCUUGUCAAAGAGUGAGAUGAAAUGAGAUGCUGGGGUGGCCUUGCUUAAUCAUAUAUUUGCAAAUUUUUUAAUUUUUCUCCUCAAAGAACGUAAACUUGCAACAAAAACAACAAAAACCAUAAGACAGUAAUUUUGCAAUUAAUUUGUUAAAAAUGUGUAUAUUUGAUAAUUUCCUUUAUAUUAUUCAUUAUUACUAGGGAAUUAAGCAUGCGCUCGCAUCCUAAAGACCCUGUAUAUUAUCGAUAAAUAAUAUUAUUUUUUUACAAUUCUGAAUAUUAAAGAUUAAAAAAUGAAAAAGAAGAAGAAGUGAAGUUUAAUAUAAUAUGGCGAGACAAUUAUAUUGUUAUUAUGAUUUUAUAUGAGAGUAUGAUUUCUAAAAAGAUUUGUUGUAUAACGAAAAUAAUACGUUGAAAAAUUUAUUGAGUUGGGACAUCGGGCACGAAGUCGUAAUUUUUGCAAUUAAUCAAAAGAUACCUAAAUAUUUGUUAUCAUUAUUCAUCAAAAGAUUCCCAAAUCGUAGAAGACAAAGCUGGGUAUCCAAACUUUCUUAAUGUGAUGCGGAAAACAAACUGACAUUGAUUUUUUUUUUAUUUGACAAAAUUGAAACGGUUGAAUAAAAAAUGAAAUUUUAAGACAAGACGACGAGGGAUUUGAAUUGAUUGAUGUAAAUCGAUAUUCUCGCGAUUUCACAACUAAUUUAUAUGUUGAAAAGAUAUCUGAUUUGUAUUUUGAAGCAGUCACGAUUAGCGAAGAUAAGUCAAUUAUCAUAAAUAAAAGAUACUCAAGCUGUCGCUGCCAUUGAUGCAUGAUACGUGAUUUGUAUUUGUCUAUACUAUAUAUAGAUAGACUCUAGUGUAUCACUGAUAUUGUUAAUUGUAAUAUUUGAGUUUUCUGAUUUCUCAACAUGGAAGAGAGCAAAACAGCUGGUAAACCCAUUCGAUGCAGAGGUAAGCUCUUCAAACUCGCAGUUGAAUGUCACGUAAUAAUUUACGAAACAAGAAUUGUGUUAUGAUAUUUUCCGCUUAUGAUGUUCUCUGUAGAACUGUGUUAUAACAUUCUCCGCUUAUGUUGUUCUCCGUAGAAAUCAACUUAAAUGUUUAUGUAUAUAUAUAUGUCGAUUGUAUUGCAGCGGCGGUUGCUCGGAAAGCAGGGGAGCCACUGAGCAUGGAAGAAGUGAUCGUUGCUCCACCGGAAUCCGGUGAAGUCCGCCUUCGAAUUAUUUGCACCUCCUUGUGCUACAGUGACGUCACCUUCUGGAAAAUGAAAGUAAUCUUUGAUUAUUGUAAUUAUUUUUUUUAACUUGCUGUGAAUUUUUAACUCGGCACUAUCUCCUUGCAACUCUCUUUCUCUUAUUUUUUCCCCUGUGUUUAUGGUCAGGAUCCUCCUGCAUAUUUUCCCAGAAUACUUGGUCACGAAUGUUUCGGGUGCGUUUCUUUCGUUCUUUUUACUGUUUUUUACAAGUCAAUUACGCACUUAUAUAUUUUGUCUUUGACGAGUUUUGAAUUUCGCAAAGAGAACCAAAUAGAAAUCCAGGAUAUAUCAUAUCCCUUUGAUGUUUGUUUCUUUAAUUGAUAGUAAAGAAAGCAAGAUAACUCUUCUAUUUUGCUACAUUCUAUUUUGAAGGUUUCACUGACUUGCGCAUGUUAAGUUUAAUGUCUCACAAAAAUAAAAUAGCAUGGCUGAGCUAGUGAGCUUCAAUGUUACAUACAAAAAUGUUAUGACUAUCUAGAUUUCAUAUUUUUGACUAACUUCAGGGUUGUCGAGAGUGUUGGGGAGAAUGUCAGUGAGGUAACUGUAGGGGACACUGUCAUCCCAGUUUUUAUGCCAGAUUGCGGAGAAUGUGGAGAUUGCAUAUCUAGCAAGAGCAACCUUUGCAGCAAAUUCCCUUUUGAAUUUGUUCCAUGGUUGCAUAGAGACCAGAAAAGCAGAUUCACUGACCUUAAUGGAGAAACUUUGCAUCAUUUCUUAUAUAUUUCAAGUUUCAGCGAGUAUACGGUGGUGGAUACUGUUCACAUUGUUAAAGUUGAUACUAGGAUCCCACCAAAUAGAGGAUGCCUCCUCAGCUGCGGAGUAUCCACUGGUAUUCUAUUGUUUUAUUAGUCAGUAGUCACAUGCAUGAGAUAUUCAGUUCCUUCAUAUUUCAAGCAUUCUUAAUUAUUCAUAUUACUGAGUGUGAACCUUGCUAUUACUAAAUCAAAGUUAUCCUUGUAGGGGUAGGUGCUGCCUUGAAAACUGCAAAUGUGGAAGCUGGAUCGACUGUGGCCAUCUUUGGACUCGGUGCUAUAGGAUUGGCUGUAUGAUUCUGCAGUCUGUUCUGAAUUUGUUUAAUUUAAUAAAUGUGAUAUAACAUGGCUCUGGUGUGGAUAAUCAGUUUGGGAUAUGAUGUAUGUCAUAGGUCUCAGAAGGAUCAAGACUUUGUGGAGCUAAACGAAUAAUUGGUGUCGAUGUGAAUGAAGACAAGUAUGAGAUAGGUAAUAAAUUAAUGUGGAACUUUCUUUCCAGUCGAUGUUAAGUGAAAUACAGUGAUCUCUUGGCUGUUAUACUAGAUCAAAGUAAUAGAUUGACCAAUUGUCUAUACAAGCUAUAACUAAUUCAGUCUGGUUGAUAAAUGGAUUCUCAAUAGCUUGUAAAUUGAGUCCCAUUGUUCUCAUGCAGCAAAAAGAUUUGGAGUGACGGAUUUUGUGAACUCUCUCACAUGUGGUGAAAAAUCUGUGAGCCAGGUACACUAAGCCUGUCAACUUGUACAGAGUUUUGUAUAUUCAUUUGACUCUGUUUUAUUACUUUUAAUAUUUGUAUAUUAGCUAUCUUCCAAUACAUACAUCAGACUGCUAACACGGAGAGGGGAAAUGAGAAUUCAUACCUACUUUGGCCAUUAUUCACUUUAAAAUAUUCAUGAACUAUGGUUAUGUUUCUGAGAAUGAUUAUAUACAUAUAUUGUUAGUAAUAAUAAUUCGUCUCUCAUAUCACAUCGGCAGGUGAUUUUAGAGAUGACUGAUGGUGGCGCAGACUAUUGCUUUGAAUGUGUUGGUAUCGCAUCCUUAGUGCAUGAGGCUUUCGCUUGCUGCCGAAAGGUGUCACAAUUUCCUUUGCACUGCUGUAAUUAAUAAUCCGCGUUUAAUAUUGCUCUAAAAACCCUGUGCCUGAUUUUUUCUGUCCCAUCCAUCAUCUACGGCCUUUCUUGAGAUGCAUUAACCUAUGCUUCCCUAACACAAACAUAUAUUGAUGAGUUUCUUAUUAUACAUUUGCAGGGAUGGGGGAAGACUGUUAUUUUGGGAGUGGAUAAGCCAGGCUCAAACUUGACCUUGUCUUCUGUUGAGGUUCUUCGGUCAGGAAAGACUCUCACAGGAUGCCUGUUUGGAAGCCUUAAACCAAAAUCUGAUGUUCCUAUGCUUGUAAAACGAUAUUUGGACAAGGUAUUUCGAUAUCUAUUAGAUUUAACUAUUCAAGGUUGCUUAUGUUUACUGGAAUUUAAAUUUACUGAUCAGAACAGAUCAUUUUUAAAAAGCAGUAAAGAAACUAGUUUGUUCUCCUUGAAAUAAGCCCUAUGGUUGUAAAGAGCGUGCGAUGUAUAAUCUGGAUGGACCAAAACAAAUAGGAGCGUUCCUGCAGCCUUCUGCACUCAGCUGCCAGCUGCAAUAAGUGAAGAAAUUCAAGUGGAGUUACAUUUAUAUGCAAUAUUUCCCCUUGAGAUCAAUAAAUAUAUCUGGAUUCUGAACACUUUUAUGAUAUUAUUCUAUUAGAAACUUCCUUGGUGAGUGAUAUUAGUUCAGUUUGAUUUAAUAUUAUUAACAUAUUUCUUUGGUUCAUCAAUAUGCGCUUUUAAGUCCUAUUUUUGAGGCGCACUCUCUCCUUGCCCUAUCCCAUAUUUUAUACUAAAUUACCAACACUCUCUUUCUCUCUCUAUUUAAUAUUAUGUUUUAAUUUAAUAUUAUGUUUUAAUGAUGAAAGUGAACUUUUAAUAAUAAAAUAUUAAACAUAUAAUGAAAAUAAGGCACAUUGUUGGAGUUGGAGUUAGUAGAAUAUGUCCUAAACUACUAUGACAUAAUUUUUUAUAUUAUAUUUAGGGCUCCAACUAAGACACCGUUGGACUUGCUCUUAGAUGUGUCAUUUGGAUGGACAAAUAAUCAACCUACCGGCGGACAAUAUCCAAUACUUAGAUCGGUUUAUAUGCGAACAUCUUUAACCUUCUCAAUUUAGGGGUCUAUUCAACUAAGAUUUUAAUAAAUUUUAUAUAGUUUAUGGAUUUUAAUGAAUUGUAUCCUAUAUUGAUUGUAUGCGAAUUCUCGACAAAAUGUCAUAGAGCGGGAGUCUUUAAAAUUUAACCACAAGAAAAAUGCUUCGAAAUCUUAUUAAUUUGAUUUUUAUGAGUUUUUUUUUUGUCAUAAGAUGAUUUUGGUGAGAUUUCAUAUAUAAUAUAGUAUUUCUUGCCCUUAUUAAUUUGUUUUGUUAUUAUUUGACAAAAAAAUUUAAUAAGCAAUAAUAUUUUAAUUUUCAAAUUUUAAUUUUCAAAUACGUCAAAGUUUUAUAUAUCAAAUGGGAUAAAAAAAACUUAUGUUAGACAUAAUUUUGUAAUACUUAAAUUUAUUAUAUGUCAAUAACAUUAACAUGAAAUUAUACGUCAAGUUAAAUAUAGUACGUCAAACUUGAUAUCAUAUUACUCCCUCCGUCUCUUUUUAAAUUGUCCACUUUGACAUUGAACCGUCGAGUUUGAUUGAAUGUUCUAUCUGAAAAAAUAUUUAAAAAAUUAUAUCAUUAUAAAGUAAAAUUUUCAAUUUCUUAUAAUAAUUAAAGAAUCUUCCAUUAUAUUUUGUCAAUUUGACAAUUGAAAGUCAAAAGUGGACAACUAAAAAAUGACGACGAGAGUAAUAAAAUUUUGAAACAAUAAGUUAAACUGAACAAAUAAAUAUGAAUGAUUAUAUCUAUGUAUGAUGAUAGCACGAUGAUAGGUAUAUAGACUCAUACAUUUUAUUAUUAUAUAAUUUUUUGAAUAAUAAAAUAUCACAGUACAUUAAUUCACAUUCUUCAAAAUUUGGAGAUUAGGCUCGAUACAUAUUUAUCAUGAUUAAACCUCAAAAGGAUAAUAAGUCAUAUAUUACUUAUUUGUCUCCACAUAUUAUAUAAGCCAUGUUAAUGAAUAAACAAAUCAUAAACACUUAAAUUUGAAUUAAUAGCAAGUAAUGUUAUCAACCACAUCUAAUAAGAAAAUAUAACCAAAACCCUUCUAGAGAUAACUAAAAAUCAAAAUCUCAUCAUAUCAUCAUAAAAUAUUCAUCUUCGUGCUAGCUAAAACCAUGACAAUUCGUGUUUUUAAAAUUUCUUGAUAAAUAGAAUUCAUUACCAUUAUUCAAUGGUCACAUAAGUUGACUGUUUACAUUCAUCGACACAAAUUUAUCACUUUAGUGAAUGUUAAUAUUUAAAUUCUUUUAUCAUAUCUUACAUAUAUAUUAUAUAAGCCAUGUUAAUGAAUAAACAAAUCAUAAACACUUAAAUUUGAAUUAAUAGCAAGUAAUGUUAUCAACCACAUCUAAUAAGAAAAUAUAACCAAAAUCCUUUUUGCUAGAGAUAACUAAAAAUCAAAAUCUCAUCAUAUCAUCAUAAAAUAUUCAUCUUCGUGCUAGCUAAAAACAUAACAAUUCGUGUUUUUGAAAUUUCUUGAUAAAUAGAAUUCAUUACCAUUAUUCAUUCGUCGCAUAAGUUGACUGUUUACAUUCAUCUGCACAAAUUUAUCACUUUAGUGAAUGUUAAUAUUUAAAUUCUUUUAUCAUAUCUUAUAUCAUCGAGAAAAAGCUUAAUCACAAGUUUAGGACUAUUAUCAUAAGCUCGAUAAUUUUAAUAUUAUAAAUAUUUAUUUUAAAAAAUUGUUUAACUAACUAUAUCAAAUAAACCAUGAUACUUUCAUUUUAUCAUUAGAAAUUACUAAACUACAAAAUAGCAAAUCUUGAAAGUAUAAAUGUUCAACAACAACCAAUGAUAUGGUUAUUUUUAUUAUCAUUUUGUUAUAUAGGUAUUAAUUUAAUUAUCAAGUAAAAUAAAAGAAUUAUAUUCAUGGCUACAAAAUCAUAUUACUUUUGAUAAGUAACAAAAAACUGAGUGAUGUAUGUGAUAUGGAUUUCUCUCGUAAAUAAAUUGCUAAAUUUAUUUGAUAAAAACAUAUCAAAGUAUAUUUUAACCUAUUUAAAUUUAUGCUCAUUUUUAGAUUUUAAUAUUCUUUGAUAUUAAUAAUCUCAAAUUAGAUGUGACAUUAACUUCAUAUAAUAUUAAUUAUUUACUUAUUUCUCGUAAUAUUGAUUUGCUAACUUUCAUAUUUAUAGUUGUUUAUAAAAAAAAAAGAUGAAAUAUUAAUACUUACUAAAUUUUAUGAAAUUAUUUUAUUCAAUGUGAAAUCAAUAUAUAUAUAUAAAGGAGGAUGCGGGCGUCUCUAGAAUUGCUCGAUUCAGUCUUCUGAUUUUUCUUGAAUUUCGGAUAGAAAAUAUAAUUAUAAUUCAAAAAGUCAGGUUUAAGAAUUCUAACAGUAAUACAACUCUUUUCUUAUCAAAUUCUAAAGAUGAUACAAUUCUUUUCUUAUUUAGUAUUUCUUAUUGAAUUCUAAAGAUAAAACAAUUCUUUUCUUAUUUAGUAAUCCUAAUAGAAAUAGGAUUAUAUUUAUUCAAACUAACAAAAUCAUAGAUAAAAUACAAUUUAUAUUUAAUAUUUGUAAGGUAAUACGUACAAUUUAUAUUAUCGAUUUACUCUUAUAAUUUUCUUAAAUUUCGAAUAGAAAAUAAAGGAUUGUAAAGAUAAUAAUCAUUAAAAAAACUGAUAGCAACAAAAAUUAGAACCAUAAAAGAAUAAUAACUUUUAACUAAUAAAUAGGCAUCAAAAAAUAAAAAAAAUUAACAAAUAAAAUAAUAUAUAAAAAAUAGGAAUCAUAUAUUAAUUUUAUGAUAAUGUAAAUGGGUCUUGAUUAGUAUUGUGUUUGACGGGCACGGGAGGCGGCCCAAACUAAUUUUUAUCUAAAUAAUAAUAAAUUUUUUAUUAGUAUUAUGUUUGACGGGAAAGUCGCUAAAAUAAUUUUUAUAAAAGAAUAAUAAUUUUUAACUAAUAAAUUGGAAUCAAAAAAUAAAAAUAAUUAACAAAUAAAAUAAUAUAUAAAAAAUAAGUAUCAUAUAUUGAUUUUAUGAUAAUGUAAAUGGUUCUUGAUUAGUAUAUCGUUUGACGGACACGGGAGGCGGCCCAAACUAAUCUUUAUCCAAAUAAUAAUAAAUUUUCUAUUAGUAUUGUGUUUGACAGUAAAGUCGCUAAAAUAAUUUUUUAUCUAUGUUAUAAUAUAUUUUUUUUGUUACACAAUUUAAAAUAAUCUCUAAUUUUUUUUAUAUAUUAUAAUUCAAAAUAAUAUGUAAGAUUAUAAUAUGUUUGAUGGGAGAGCGACUAAUAUAAUUUUUAUCUAUGUUAUAAUGUUUUUUUUGUUAAAGCGGCGGUCCAAAAUAAUUACAAAAUAAAUUAGGAUAUAUAAAAUAGGAAUCAUAUAUUGAUCUUAUAAUAAUGUAAAUGAUUCUUGAUUAGUAUUGUGUUUGACGGGCACGGGAGGCGGCCCAAACAAAUUUUUAUCUAAAUAAUAAUAAAUUUUCUAUUAGUAUUAUGUUUGACGGGAAAGUGGCUAAAAUAAUUUUUUGUCCAUGUUAUAAUAUAUAUUUUUUUUGUUGAAACGGUACCGCGGUUCAAAUUAAUUUUUAUCCAGUUAUAAUCUUUAAUUUUAUCAUAAUUAGAAUAAUUUUAUUAGUAUUGUGUUUGACAGAGCGACUCAAACUAAUAUCUAAAUUAUAAUGUUUUGUUAUUAGUAUUGUGUUUGACAAGAGAGCGGCUCAAACUAAUUUUGAUCUAAAUUAUAAUAUUUAAUUUUAUCUUAAAAAUAAUAAUUAUGGAUUAAUAUUGUCUUUGACGGGAGAGAAGUUCGAACUAAUUUUAUUAUUAGUAUUGUGUUUGACAUGAUGACCACUUAUACAAAUUUUUAUACCAAUUAUAAUAUUUUUUUUAUUAGUGAUAUGUUUAACGGAAAGAUGACUCAAAAUAAUUUUUAUGCUAUUCAUAUCAAAAUUUAUAACGCCGCCGCGAAGCGCGGCUUUUUUCACUAGUUUAUAUAUAUAGAAAAUCAUAAUCACAAUGUAAUUUGUAUUUCUAAUCCAGUUAUAUUUUACACUAGAUUUAACCCAUAAUGAUGAUAGAAAAUCAUAAAGAGAUUCAUCAUUUUGACGUUGCAUUAUAAAAAAUAAUUUUAGUCAUAAAUAUUAAUUGUGAUAAAAUAUAUAAAUGUUUGACACAUAUACGACUUUAUAUUUAAUUUACUGAAUAUGUAAUUUAAAAUCCACAGCAUCAUACGUACAUAGAUACAUACAUAUAUAUUUGGAAAUUGAAGUAAAAAUAAUAUAAUGACAACAUAUCACAUUUAAAAUAAUAAUACAAUAAAAAAGUUUACUUUUAUCUAAUAUUUGGAAAAUAGUCAGGAUUAGAGAUCUCUUAAAAUAAUAAAGAAAAAGUUAAACAAAAAUAUUUUUUUUUUUGAAACCAACAAAAAAUAUUUUUUAAAAUGUACAUCACAUAUUGCUUCGAAUGUGUUGGUAUGGCAUCCUUGUUGCAUGAAGCAUUUGCUUGCUGCAGAAUGCUAUCCUUAAUUCUCCACUUUCUCUCUCAUUUACAUACGGCUAAAAUACAUUUUUACCACUGAGAUAUGUCUCGGUGGACACACCAACCAUCAAGUUUUUAAAAAAUACGGUUCAGCCAUGCAAGUAUGCUGUUAUGUAUGUUUUGGCCAUAACCGAGCGGAAAACAAGAAACCGGGGGUGAGUGGAGCGCACUUGCGGUUCCCUGCAAAUGUAAGAAGUAGAUGGCGUUGUUCUUGUUUGCUCUUGGAAAGCAGCGAGGCAAAGCCCCUUGCAUGCCAUCUACAUAAUUGAUUUGACUUUAACUUAAUAAACAACCCCUAUAAAUAAUUAUAACUUCCUUAUUUGUAGCAUUAAAAUUUAUAUAUGAAAAUAAAUAAUACAGUAAUAUUUAAUUUAUUAAUAUAGUUUUUAAAAAAUAUUUAAUUUAUUAAAAUAGUUUUUAUUAAAAUAGGUUGUGAUUAUUCGGAACAAAUAAAUGAUAUUCCUUCUGUCCUAAAAUAAGUGUAACUUUGACUUUUUGCAAGUAAUUUUAGAUGUAAAAAAAACAUACUUCUAUGCUUUAUUUUUUAUAUUUUCUUUCUGAAUAAAAAUAUAGAUGUUAACCUUUUAUUCAGAAAAAAAUAAAAAAUAAUAUGUCGAACUAUAUUUUUUGUGCACCUUAAAUUACGUGAAAAAGUCAAAAUGACAUUUAUUUUGGGAUAGAGGGAGUAACAAACAUAUUCGGGAAUUAGUCGGAAUAUGAUUAGUGGGGUAGUAGUCGAAAUAUAUGAAAAUAAAUAAUAAUAUUUAAUUUAUUAAAAUAUUUUUAAAAAAUAUGUUGUGAUCAUUCAGAACAUAUAAUUAGUGAUACCAAACAUAUUAAAAAAAAUCGGAAUAAUUUUUUUAUAAAUAAGCAGCCAUGCAUGCAAUUCGUUCAAACUGCAAAAAGAGCUGAAAAGGCUCCCAGUUUCCGUUUCUUUUCCGGCGCUCGGUUUCAUUUGUUUUGGUGGUACUAAAGAGUAAAGACUCUUCUCUUAAUGAAUGUCCUGACUUAAACGAAAAAAAAUAUUAGCCAUCAAAUUUUGAUUUCUCAAUGCAUAUAGAUAUAGUGAUAGUUUGGUAUAUAAAAGAUUAUUUAUUAUUUUUGAUAAUAUUAUGUUAAUUAUAGUCGAUAAAUAAUUUAUAAAAUUUAUCUAUAAGUUAAUGGAUAAUUUGAUAAAUUAACUUUUAAGGUUAAAAUAUUGAUUUUAUUUAAAUAUUUAUAUAUUUUCAAAUAUAUAAGGAUUAGUGAAGGGGUAUACGUAUAUAUUAAUAUUUAAACUGUUUCAAAUUUAUACAUAAAGAUAAUAUAUUAAAUAUAAGUAAAUCAAUAAGUGAUUAAAAAAAUUUAUUUUCGGAAUAUAAUAAAAUUUAAUUUAUUUACGAAUUUUAAAAAUUUAUGUUGUAAUUAAUUAUAAAUAAAUAAUAUAAAAUAUAUUCAGAAAUUAGUCGGUUAGUGGGAAUAAUAAACUUAGAUAAUAACAUAAAAAUUACUUGUAUCUUCUUUAGUCGGAAAGGAUGAGGCAUGAGCAUCAAGCUGUUGUACCGAGCAGGCGAACAUUGUUAUCAGCUGUUGCCUGUUAGCAAGUUUUAACACAAGACAUGCUGGACAACAGUAAAAUAUACAAGGAGAAAAGCACAGGUGAAGUGGUCCCACUCAUGGUUCACCAACCACUCACUCUCUUUCAAAGCAGUUGUACUACACUCACCUCCGGUUUUCUGCUUUCCGCUCGGUUAUGGUGGUGCUGUUCAAUUUUACGUACUUGCAUGGUCGAACCGUAUUUUUUGAAACCAUGAUGGUCGUUGUGUCCAUCAAGACAUAUCUCAAUGGCAAAAAUGUAUUUUAGCCUUUACAUACAGAAAAGCAGUCUAACAUUUUGCAGAUGAAAAGAUGGCUCAGUUUCCCAGGAAUUAACAUGUUCUAUCUCAAUCUGUCACUUAACUUACAGGGAAAAUUCAUUGUACCUAAAUUCACAUUUGUAGCCUAAUUUUCUUCUGACAUGUGCUUUACUUGAAGUUAUUCAGCCUUGUUUCCAAGUUAAAACUGAUGACAAAGUACUGAACUCGUGCAACCUUUUUACUUGUCAAACUGAUCUGAUUAACUAGCAAGUGCAUGUUAUGUUUCCAGUCAUUUUUUACAAUCUAAAAAC